ensembl:lncRNA
CCAAGAAUGAUCUAGGAAGAGGGGAAAGAAAUAAGAGAAAGGUGUCUGUGUGAAGUGGAGAUGAGGAGGCAGAAAAGGAGAGAGAGAGAGGAGAGGACUAGAGAAGACUGGAGUUAGGCUGCAACACGAGAGGCAAAGCAACGAGGAGAGGGAGAAAGAAGAGAGCAACAGGGAUCGAGGUGGAAUCGGGCCGAAAACGCAGGAAAAGGAGGGAAAAAUUGCCAGACUCAUCCGACCUCUGCUGUGUGGGGACCGGACCCGUCACCUGACUGCCCUCUCCUGUCUUCCUGGUCCUCAGCAGAACAGCCAUGAGGUAGAGUCGGACAUUUUGGAAAAUUG